rnacentral:rRNA from 1 species
GACGAGCCGAGCGAACGUUGUUCGGAAUCACUGGGCUUAAAGGGCGCGUAGGCGGGUGCUCAAGUCCGGGGUGAAAUCCUCCAGCUCAACUGGAGAACUGCCUCGGAUACUGGGUGCCUCGAGGGUGGUAGGGGUAUGCGGAACUAUCGGUGGAGCGGUGAAAUGCGUUGAUAUCGAUAGGAACUCCGGUGGCGAAGGCGGCAUACUGGACCACAUCUGACGCUGAGGCGCGAAAGCGUGGGGAGCAAACAGG